UACGGGGGGGGCAAGCGUUGUUCGGAAUUACUGGGCGUAAAGGGUGCGUAGGCGGGUUUUUAAGUCAGGGGUGAAAUCCUGGAGCUCAACUCCAGAACUGCCUUUGAUACUGAAGAUCUCGAGUCCGGGAGAGGUGAGUGGAACUGCGAGUGUAGAGGUGAAAUUCGUAGAUAUUCGCAAGAACACCAGUGGCGAAGGCGGCUCACUGGCCCGGUACUGACGCUGAGGCACGAAAGCGUGGGGAGCAAACAGG
rnacentral:rRNA from 1 species